rnacentral:rRNA from 1 species
GAUGAACGCUAGCGGCAGGCCUAAUACAUGCAAGUCGAACGGGAUCCAGAUCAAAGCUUGCUUUGGUCUGGUGAGAGUGGCGCACGGGUGCGUAACGCGUGAGCAACCUACCCUUGUCAGGGGGAUAGCCCGGCGAAAGUCGGAUUAAUACCGCAUGACAUCAUUGAGAGGCAUCUUUCGAUGAUCAAAGAUUUAUCGGACAAGGAUGGGCUCGCGUGACAUUAGCUCGUUGGUAAGGUAACGGCUUACCAAGGCUGCGAUGUCUAGGGGCUCUGAGAGGAGAAUCCCCCACACUGGUACUGAGACACGGACCAGACUCCUACGGGAGGCAGCAGUAAGGAAUAUUGGUCAAUGGACGGAAGUCUGAACCAGCCAUGCCGCGUGCAGGAGGACGGCCCUAUGGGUUGUAAACUGCUUUUAUACGGGAACAAACGUCGGUACGUGUACCGGUCUGAGUGUACCGUAAGAAUAAGGAUCGGCUAACUCCGUG